GCAAACUUGGUCAUUUAGAGGAAGUAAAAGUCGUAACAAGGUUUCCGUAGGUGAACCUGCGGAAGGAUCAUUACAGAAUAAACUUGGUGGGUUGUUGCUGGCUCUCAAUUGAGCAUGUGCACGCCUAUCAUCUUUAUCUUUCCACCAUGUGCACCCUAUGUAGAUCUAUUAGACAUAAAGGCCUAAUCGGAGUUGUUUCUGAUUAUUGGAAAGUUUUGCUGUUUGGUUUCCGAAUAGCUCUUUCUGUUCUGGCUGUCUUUAUAGAUACUACGACUUACUAUAUACCCCGAAUGUAUGUUAUUGAACGUCGUCAAUGGGCUCUUUAAGCCUAUAAAUCUAUAAUACAACUUUCAGCAACGGAUCUCUUGGCUCUCGCAUCGAUGAAGAACGCAGC
rnacentral:misc_RNA from 1 species